rnacentral:tRNA from 1 species
GGCUGGUUGAGGGAGCCGGCGCUCCCCGCGGGCUGCAAACCCGUCUGAGAACGCCUUACCCGCGUUCUGUUCGGUUCGACUCCGAACCCAGCC